rnacentral:tRNA from 1 species
GGGCGUGUAGUCUAGUGGAUAGGGCGGCAGCCUCCUACCUUUUUUGGGUGAAAGCUGCAGAUCGCGGGUUCAAAUCCCGCCACGCCCG